rnacentral:rRNA from 1 species
GGGGCAAGCGUUGUCCGGAAUCAUUGGGCGGAAAGAGCGUGUAGGCGGCUCGGUAAGUCCGCUGUGAAAGUCCAGGGCUCAACCCUGGAAAGCCGGUGGAAACUGUCGAGCUAGAGUCCGGAAGAGGCGAGUGGAAUUCCUGGUGUAGUGGUGAAAUGCGCAGAUAUCAGGAGGAACACCAAUGGCGAAGGCAGCUCGCUGGGACGGUACUGACGCUAAGGCGCGAAAGCGUGGGGAGCGAACAGG